rnacentral:rRNA from 1 species
AACGAACGCUGGCGGCAUGCCUAACACAUGCAAGUCGAACGAGACCUUCGGGUCUAGUGGCGCACGGGUGCGUAACGCGUGGGAAUCUGUCCUUGGGUUCGGAAUAACAGUUGGAAACGACUGCUAAUACCGGAUGAUGACGUAAGUCCAAAGAUUUAUCGCCCAAGGAUGGGCCCGCGUAGGAUUAGCUAGUUGGUGAGGUAAAGGCUCACCAAGGCGACGAUCCUUAGCUGGUCUGAGAGGAUGAUCAGCCACACUGGGACUGAGACACGGCCCAGACUCCUACGGGAAGCAGCAGUGGGGAAUAUUGGACAAUGGGCGAAAGCCUGAUCCAGCAAUGCCGCGUGAGUGAUGAAGGCCUUAGGGUUGUAAAGCUCUUUUACCCGGGAUGAUAAUGACAGUACCGGGAGAAUAAGCUCCGGCUAACUCCGUG